rnacentral:rRNA from 1 species
AUGGCCAACCACGGAGUCGCCGCUCUCCUGAUCGCGUCCCUUCUCGUGGUGGCGGUCACCCUCACCGACGCCAGGAUCACCGUGAACGUGCAGCGCGACAGCAUUAAAGGAAGUUAUGCGGCGAACAAGAAGGCGGUGCCGGCGCUGACGUGCAACAAGGUGAGCGCGGUGCAACAGGGCGAGACUUGCUCCUCACUCGCGGAGGACGCCGGGCUGACCCAGGAGGACUUCCUGGGCUUCAACCCCAACAUCAACUGCGUCAGGAUCUUCGUCGGCCAGUGGGUCUGCCUCGACGCAUCCUCUGCCUAA